rnacentral:rRNA from 1 species
GAAGCACAUUUCUUGUGUGACCGCGUACUUUUUGUAGAGGCAGCGAACGAGGUAAGGUAAAGAGCUAAAGUAAGCAAGUAGGGGGGGGAGCGGGAGAGAAAGCGAGUUUUAACUGUUCGUUAAGUUACCGGAAGCAGGCCACCAACCGAGCGACCUACCCAUGAGAAGGAGGAAGCGAAAGUAAAAUUGCAUGGACGACCGAACCAACGAG